CUGUGUGCAGAUAUUUUACUUGUACAUGAUGAUGUCAGUGACAAUCAUAACUGUGUAACACCAACAAGAAGAAAUUUGCAAGUUGUUCCGCUGUCGGAUAAAGACAUCAGUACUCAUGCUCUUGAUAGUGACAGCAUACAGUUACAUCAACGAGUAAAAGCUACAGUCUUCAAAGGUGGGGACACAAGAAUCAAGGAAAUCGAUGAAGAAACUUUGGAACGUGACCUGUUUAACACUUCUCUAUUGCGGUUAUGUCAAACAUGGGCAACCUUUGAAGAAUGGAAAGCAGAAGAUGAUGAUGAUACCAUAGUAAGUUAUAUUAUAAUU